rnacentral:lncRNA from 1 species
GAACGAACAAGGCCAUGUUUGAAUGUCAGGGAAACAGACGCAGAAGGUUUCAGAGGACCUUUGUCACUGAAAUUCCCUUUCCUUCUGGAAAAGCAAACUGCUAGUUUGUUGACCAUCAGGUAUUCUAUAGAUUACUUUGAAAUGAAAAUGUUACCUGGGUGUGUGAGCUGAGAGUUUGGACUUUUCAUCUGACAAUGAAUGAUACCGUAUUUGACCUUGAAGAGGGUACUGGACCUUACCAUUGUCUAUAUGUAGAAGCAGGAAUGAUUCAGAUACCUAAUGAUUAUUAAAAAUGCUUUGAUGCCUCAAAUGAAAUAAC